rnacentral:rRNA from 1 species
AUGGAAUUUCGCCAAGACUAUGAGCCUGAUGAAGAUGAAGACCUCGCCAGGCGGCAUGAUUACUCCCGCUUUUGCUUCAGGGGAAGAGUGGAUGGCACUGGGAUGGGAUCCACCCCUCGCUCGGGUGCGCAUCCUUUUGGUGGCCCGGGAGGCUUCGGGAUGGCAGGCGACUGGGGUGGGCGCAGGGCUAAUGGCCUACUGGCGCCAGCGGGCGGCGUGCCUCCUCCACUCCGGACUUCCACUCGGACAAUGACGGCGACGGACUACUCAUCGUCCGCAUCGGCCGCACGCCCCAAGGCACGCUCGGCUGGCCAGAGCAUGACAGCUCUGAACAUGGAGCACUCAUCGCCUUGCCCAUUGGCGUCAACAGUGGUGGGCUCGGCAACGUUCCUGCAGACUCCUGUGCAAGCGCUCUCGUCAAGCAUUCUGGCGCCUUCAAGAGGUGCCCCUGCAGCUGCUGGCUCGGCUGCUAUGAAUCUAGCGAUGGCCGUGCCGGCGACUUCAACUCGGGCGCUCUCGUCAAACAAGCUAGUGCCUUCGGGUUGCGCCUCCACAGCGGUGGGCUCUGCAGCCUAUGGCGACACACCGGCGGGGCAGGGAGCUUCGGGCGUCACGGCGGUGGGCUCAGCGGCUUGGGGACCGACGCCACCCUCCGGCAGGGUUACUCUCCUUCUGCUGGAGUCCCCACGUCGGCUCUCAUUCUCACCAAAUAUUGGGGCACGGGACGCGUUGAUCCACGAUGAGGAGGAGCUGUCGGGCAGGUGCAGCUCGCAGCUUGCCUUUCAUCCUUCUAUGGUGGAUGAAGAACCUAUUCCUCCUGAAGCUGGAGACCGGCCAGAGGGCCUCAAGACUCUGGUGGUGCAGCAGCGGGAUGAAGGCUCAUCGGUUUCUUGCCAGAGCCCCGUGCGCACACCUUUUGCAGUCCUUAUAAGCCCAAGCAAGCUGCUUCCACCACUGGCGCCAAAACACAAGGAGGAGCAGGUGCUGGGUCCGAAAACUGCUGAAGCCACUCUCCUUGAGGGACUGGGUGCCACGCCCAAGGCCUCAAUCCUGGGACCAAGGCCUGCGGCAUCGGCUCCGGUUCGUCGCAGGAGGCUUAUCCCGCCGAAUUUCACCCCUCGGCGGAGUGCUUGA